GCGAGUGAAGCGGCAACAGCUCAAAUUUGAAAGCUGGCUCCGGCCCGCAUUGUAAUUUGCAGAGGAUGCUUCUGGCAAGGUGCCUUCCGAGUUCCCUGGAACGGGACGCCAUAGAGGGUGAGAGCCCCGUAUGGAUGGACACCAAGCCUGUGUGAAGCUCCUUCAACGAGUCGAGUAGUUUGGGAAUGCUGCUCAAAAUGGGAGGUAAAUCUCUUCUAAAGCUAAAUACCGGCCAGAGACCGAUAGCGCACAAGUAGAGUGAUCGAAAGAUGAAAAGCACCUUGAAAAGGGGGUUAAACAGUACGUGAAAUUGUUGAAAGGGAAGCGCUUGUGACCAGACUUGCGCCGGGCGGCUCAUCAGGGGUUCUCCCCUGUGCACUCCGCCCGGCUCAGGCCAGCAUCGGUUCUCGUGGGGGGAUAAGAACGGUGGGAACGUGGCCCCCUUCCGGGGGGGUGUUAUAGCCCGCCGUACGAUACUCUCGCGGGGACCGAGGUUCGCGCUCCGCAAGGAUGCUGG
rnacentral:rRNA from 1 species